rnacentral:rRNA from 1 species
CCGGUAAACGGCGGCCGUAACUAUAACGGUCCUAAGGUAGCGAAAUUCCUUGUCGGGUAAGUUCCGACCUGCACGAAUGGCGUAAUGAUGGCCAGGCUGUCUCCACCCGAGACUCAGUGAAAUUGAACUCGCUGUGAAGAUGCAGUGUACCCGCGGCAAGACGGAAAGACCCCGUGAACCUUUACUAUAGCUUGACACUGAACAUUGAGCCUUGAUGUGUAGGAUAGGUGGGAGGCUUUGAAGUGUGGACGCCAGUCUGCAUGGAGCCGACCUUGAAAUACCACCCUUUAAUGUUUGAUGUUCUAACGUUGGCCCGUUAUCCGGGUUGCGGACAGUGUCUGGUGGGUAGUUUGACUGGGGCGGUCUCCUCCUAAAGAGUAACGGAGGAGCACGAAGGUUGGCUAAUCCUGGUCGGACAUCAGGAGGUUAGUGCAAUGGCAUAAGCCAGCUUGACUGCGAGCGUGACGGCGCGAGCAGGUGCGAAAGCAGGUCAUAGUGAUCCGGUGGUUCUGAAUGGAAGGGCCAUCGCUCAACGGAUAAAAGGUACUCCGGGGAUAACAGGCUGAUACCGCCCAAGAGUUCAUAUCGACGGCGGUGUUUGGCACCUCGAUGUCGGCUCAUCACAUCCUGGGGCUGAAGUAGGUCCCAAGGGUAUGGCUGUUCGCCAUUUAAAGUGGUACGCGAGCUGGGUUUAGAACGUCGUGAGACAGUUCGGUCCCUAUCUGCCGUGGGCGCUGGAGAACUGAGGGGGGCUGCUCCUAGUACGAGAGGACCGGAGUGGACGCAUCACUGGUGUUCGGGUUGUCAUGCCAAUGGCACUGCCCGGUAGCUAAAUGCGGAAGAGAUAAGUGCUGAAAGCAUCUAAGCACGAAACUUGCCCCGAGAUGAGUUCUCCCUGACUCCCUGAGAGUCCUGAAGGAACGUUGAAGACGACGACGUUGAUAGGCCGGGUGUGUAAGCGCAGCGAUGCGUUGAG